GGAUGCCCAGCUAAAUGUGAAUUGCAGAUAAACGACAAAUUUUUUUUUUUUAAUUCUUUUAGGAUAAGUAAAUGCACUAUUUAGGACAUACUUAUACUAAAAAAAAACUGAUUUGUUGUUUACCUGAAAAUUCAGUUUUAA
rnacentral:miRNA from 1 species